GUAGGUGGCAAGCGUCGUCCGGAAUUAUUGGGCGUAAAGCGCGCGCAGGCGGUCCUUUAAGUCUGAUGUGAAAGCCCACGGCUCAACCGUGGAGGGUCAUUGGAAACUGGGGGACUUGAGUGCAGAAGAGGAGAGUGGAAUUCCACGUGUAGCGGUGAAAUGCGUAGAGAUGUGGAGGAACACCAGUGGCGAAGGCGACUCUCUGGUCUGUAACUGACGCUGAGGCGCGAAAGCGUGGGGGGAGCGAACAGGAUUAGAUACCCUGGUAGUCCACGCCGUAAACCGAUGAGUGCUAAGUGUUAGAGGGUUUCCCGCCCUUUAGUGCUGCAGCUAACGCAUUAAGCACUCCGCCUGGGGAGUACGGUCGCAAGACUG
rnacentral:rRNA from 1 species